rnacentral:rRNA from 1 species
AUUGAACGCUGGCGGCAGGCCUAACACAUGCAAGUCGAACGAGUGGCGGACGGGUGAGUAAUGUCUGGGCAACUGCCUGAUGGAGGGGGAUAACUACUGGAAACGGUAGCUAAUACCGCAUACCAUCAGAUGUGCCCAGAUGGGAUUAGCUAGUUGGUGGGGUAACGGCUCACAAAGGAGACGAUCCCUACCUGGGCGGAGAGGAGGACCAGCCACACUGGAACUGGGACACGGUCAAGAGUCCUACGGGACGGAGCAGUGGGGAAUAGUGCACAAUGGGCGCAAGCCUGAUACAGCCAUGCCGCAUGUGUGAAGAAGGCCUUGGGGUUGUAAAGUCCUUUCAGCGGGGAGGCGUUACCCGCAGAAGAAGCACCGGCUAACUCCGUGCCAGCCGCCGCGGUAAUAC